rnacentral:rRNA from 1 species
AUGUGGACCUCUGUACAAGAACUAGGCUAUAUGUUUGUUACCGCUCACUACAUUGAUGGCAAUUUCAACCUGAAGAAGAAGGUCAUAUCCUUCAAAAAAGUCAAGUAUCCGCACACAAGUGCGGCCAUUGAAGAGACUCUGUGCAAGUGUUUGAAUGAAUGGGGCAUCAAAAGGAAAUUGUUUACUUUGACCUUGGACAAUGCAGCAAACAACAAACCAGCAGUUGACUCAUUUGUGCAACAUCAAGACCAUGGCAUGUUGUUUGGUGGUGUGGAUUUUCAUGUAAGGUGUUUGGCACACAUCCUUAAUAUCUUAGUUCAAGAUGGAACAAGAUAUGUGCACAAGCCCAUAGAAAAAAUCUGUGAACUUUUAAGGCAUAUCACUUCUUCGCCAUCAAGAAUUCAAUCCUUCAAUGUGAUUGCCACAAAUUUGGAUCUUCCUGAAAAGGCUGGUGGCAUAAAUCUUGAUAUUCCAAACCGUUGGAACUCUACAUAUCCAAUGAUUGAAGAAGCUCUGGAAUACAAGGGAGCCCUCAAUAAUUAUGCAAGUGGAAAUGGUGAAAUAGCACCGGACGAUGUGGAGUGGACUAAUGCUGAAGUAAUGUGCACAUUUCUAAAAGCUUUUGAAGAAGCGACAAAGUUAGUAUCAGCCGAUAGAACACCAACAACCCAUCUUUUUUUGCACAUGUUGUUGUGCAUCCACGACGCGCUAAGGGACCCUCAGUGGAGCACUAGUGGCACUAUGUCAAACCUUGUCUAUGCUAUGGGCCAAAAGUUUGAUAAAUACUGGAAAGAGUCAAAACUGAAUGUUGCAGUUGUCAUCACAACGGUGUUAGAUCCAACCAAGAAAUCUGACUUCUUGGAAUUCUUCUUUGAAAAGUAUUGUGAAAAUGUGGAUGAUAUUGAGAAGUGUCUAGAAGGUGUAAAAGACAUGAUGAGGUCAUACUAUGAGAAAUACGAGGAAGCCAGAAGAACCAUCGAGCACUCGGUAUCUCGGCAAGUCAGCGCCAAUAUAGGAUCACCAGUUCUUGGCAAAAGGAGGCUGGAAGAAGAGUUUGCUCAAUACAAGUCAAGAAGGAGGUCCUACAUGCAAGCAAAGUCUGAGCUGGACAUGUAUUUGGAGGAAAAUUUCGACAGCUCCGGGGGAAGUUUAGAUAUUUUGACAUGGUGGAAAACACAUGCUGAAAAAUAUCCCGUGCUCUCAACCAUGGCUCGUGAUUUCCUUGCAAUACCUCUUAGCACCAUGUCAUCUGAAUCAGCAUUCAGUUGCAGUGGAAGGACUUUAGGAGAUUCCCGAUGCUUGAUGACGCCCGAAACUCUUGAGGCUUUAGUUUGCGGAAAAUAUUGGCUUAUCAAAAUUCCAAAUAAUGAAGGCCCAAGUGGGACAGCCUAA